CUGCUCCUGCCCAGGUCCCAAGCUGUCCAGUCCUGAAACUAGAGUAAGAACUGCUCCUGCACAUGUCCACAGCUGUGCGGACCUCAAACUAAAGUAAGAACUGCUCCUGCCGACGUCCGCAGAUGUGCAUCCCUCAAACUACAAAAAGAACUUCUCCUGCCCAGGUCCCCAGCUGUGCGACCCUAAAACUAAAAUAAGAACUGCUCCUGCCGAGGUCCGCAGCUGUGUGGCCCUCAAACUACAAAACCCUCAACUCCAUUGCCCCCUUCUACUUCCGCACUCACUACUCAACUUUUUAAUACCCAACUCUGAGUUGAAGCAUUAAUAAAAGUGAUAAUUAACAUGUUUGGUGAAGUGGCACCAUCACAUGCUUGUGAUUCUCAAUUUCGAAGCUAUUUGGAACUCUUUCAAUGUGUCCAGAAGUUGGCUAUGUUGCCCAUUUCUCCCUGUCAUUAUGUCUCCUAAUGGACCCCUUUUCUUAUGCUCAGCAGUUUGCACUACUGUCUAGUUUUCUG